GUCGGUGGUCGAUGUACCCUUGUAAGGCUUGCAUCAAAAGUUGAUGCAAUUAAACAAACCCUUGAGAAUGAUGAACAGAGGGUUGGGGCUGAAAUUGUAAGGAAGUCCUUGAGUUAUCCACUCAAACUGAUUGCAGAAAAUGCUGGCGUUAAUGGCAGCGUAGUUAUUGAGAAGGUCCUUGCCAUUGACAACUCCAGGUAUGGUUACAAUGCCGCUACUGGAAAGUACGAGGAUUUGAUGGCUGCUGGUAUUAUUG